CCUCCCGGGUGCUACCAUGCAAGUCGAACGGGAAAGUCCCCUUCGGGGGAUGAGUACAGUGGCAGACGGGUGAGUAAUAGGUGGACAACCUGCCCUUGAGUUGGGAAUAACUCAGCGAAAGCUGGGCUAAUACCGAAUGAUAUUGCGCCUCCGAGGAGGAUGCAAUCAAAGAUGGCCUCUGCGUGCAAGCUAUCGCUCGAGGUGGGGUUCAUCUCCCAUUAGCCAGUUGGUGAGGUAACGGCUCACCAAAGCUACGAUGGGUAGCCGGCCUGAGAGGGUGAUCGGCCACACUGGAACUUAGACACGGUCCAGACUCCUACGGGAGGCAGCAGUGAGGAAUUUUGCGCAAUGGACGAAAGUCUGACGCAGCAACGCCGCGUGGGUGAAUGAAGGCCCUUGGGUCGUAAAACCCUGUCGAGAGGGAAGAAAUUCGUAGCGGCCAAUACCCGCCACGAUUGACUGUACCUCUGGAGGAAGCCCCGGCUAACUCCGUGCCAGCAGCCGCGGUAAUACGGAGGGGGCGAGCGUUGUUCGGAAUUAUUGGGCGUAAAGGGCGCGUAGGCGGCCCCGCAAGUCAGAUGUGAAAGCCCUUGGCUCAACCAAGGAACUGCAUCUGAGACUGCGGAGCUCGAAUCCGGGAGGGGAGAGUGGAAUUCCCAGUGUAGCGGUGAAAUGCGUAGAUAUUGGGAGGAACACCGGUGGCGAAGGCGGCUCUCUGGACCGGUAUUGACGCUGAGGCGCGAAAGCUAGGGGAGCAAACGGGAUUAGAUACCCCGGUAGUCCUAGCUGUAAACGAUGGGCACUUGGGUGUGUCGGGUAU
rnacentral:rRNA from 1 species